CGAGUGCGUUCAGAGUUUGAUCCUGGCUCAGGACGAACGCUGGCGGCGUGCCUAAUACAUGCAAGUCGAGCGAAGAGUUAAUGGUGCUUGCACCAAUAACACUUAGCGGCGAACGGGUGAGUAACGUGUAAAGAACUUGCCCUCUAGACUGGGAUAACAGAUAGAAAUGUCUGAUAAUACCGGAUAUUAUUGUUACAUGGCAUCAUGUAGGAAUGAAAGGAUAAGAUUGCUAGAGGAGAGCUUUGCAUCCUAUUAGCUAGUUGGUAAGGUAGCGGCUUACCAAGGCGAUGAUAGGUAGCCGGCCUGAGAGGGUGGACGGCCACAAGGGGACUGAGAUACGGCCCUU
rnacentral:rRNA from 1 species